rnacentral:rRNA from 1 species
AUGCGCGUGGGAAAUGGUUCCAAAGUCGAUGUGAUUGCGGUCGGCACGCUACCUCUACAUCUACCUUCGGGAUUAGUAUUAGACCUAAAUAAUUUUUAUUUGGUGCCAACGUUGAGCAUGAACAUUAUAUCUGGAUCUUGUUUGAUGCGAGACGGUUAUUCAUUUAAAUCAGAGAAUAAUGAUUUUUCUAUUUAUAUGAGUAAUAUCUUUUAUGGUCAUGCACCCUUGAAGAGUGGUCUGUUUUUACUAAAUCUCGAUAGUGGUGAUACACAUAUUCAUAAUAUUGAAGCCAAAAGAUGCAGAGUUGAUAAUGAUAGUGCAACUUAUUUGUGGCACUGCCGUUUAGGUCAUAUCGGAGUAAAGCGCAUGAAGAAACUCCAUACUGAUGGACUUUUGGAACCACUUGAUUAUGAAUCACUUGGUACUUGCGAACCGUGCCUCAUGGGCAAGAUGACUAAAACGCCGUUCUCCGGAACUAUGGAGAGAGCAACGGAUUUGUUGGAGAUCAUACAUACAGAUGUAUGUGGUCCAAUGAAUGUUGAGGCUCGUGGCGGAUAUCGUUAUUUUCUCACCUUCACAGAUGAUUUAAGAAGAUAUGGGUAUAUCUACUUAAUGAAACAUAAGUCUGAAACAUUUGAAAAGUUUAAAGAAUUUCAUAGUGAAGUUGAAAAUCAUCGUAACAAGAAAAUAAAGUAUCUACGGUCUGAUCAUGGAGGAGAAUAUUUGAGUUAUGAGUUUGGUCUUCAUUUGAAACAAUGCGGAAUAGUUUCGCAACUCACGCCACCCGGAACACCACAGCGUAAUGGUGUGUCCGAACGUCGUAAUCGUACUUUACAAGAUAUGGUGUGA